CCUACCGGAGGCAGCAGCAGUGGGGAAUUUUGGACAAUGGGGGCAACCCUGAUCCAGCAAUGCCGCGUGAGUGAAGAAGGCCUUCGGGUUGUAAAGCUCUUUUGUCGGGGAAGAAACGGUUCAUCUUAAUACGGUGGGCUAAUGACGGUACCCGAAGAAUAAGCACCGGCUAACUACGUGCCAGCAGCCGCGGUAAUACGUAGGGUGCAAGCGUUAAUCGGAAUUACUGGGCGUAAAGCGUGCGCAGGCGGUUAUGUAAGACAGAUGUGAAAUGCCCGGGCUCAACCUGGGAACUGCAUUUGUGACUGCAUGGCUAGAGUGUGUCAGAGGGGGGUAGAAUUCCACGUGUAGCAGUGAAAUGCGUAGAGAUGUGGAGGAAUACCGAUGGCGAAGGCAGCCCCCUGGGAUAACACUGACGCUCGUGCACGAAAGCGUGGGGAGCAAACAGGAUUAGAUACCCUGGUAGUCCACGCCCUAAACGAUGUCUACUAGUUGUCGGGUCUUAAUUGACUUGGUAACGCAGCUAACGCGUGAAGUAGACCGCCUGGGGAGUACGGUCGCAAGAUUAAAACUCAAAUGAAUUGACGG
rnacentral:rRNA from 1 species